rnacentral:rRNA from 1 species
GUCCACGCCGUAAACGAUGUCGACUUGGAGGUUGUUCCCUUGAGGAGUGGCUUCCGGAGCUAACGCGUUAAGUCGACCGCCUGGGGAGUACGGCCGCAAGGUUAAAACUCAAAUGAAUUGACGGGGGCCCGCACAAGCGGUGGAGCAUGUGGUUUAAUUCGAUGCAACGCGAAGAACCUUACCUACUCUUGACAUCCAGAGAACUUAGCAGAGAUGCUUUGGUGCCUUCUGGAACUCUGAGACAGGUGCUGCAUGGCUGUCGU